AUGAAAAAUAAAAAAAAAUAAAAACUUAUGUAUAUAAGCAUCUAACUCCACUCUAUCUUGCCUUCAAAAGUGUCUAUGAGCUUUCACAUGUAUGGUUUUAUUUUGACAUUGAGAGUUAAGCAAUACAAAUAUAAACUUUGAGACCCAGGACAAAACACAAACUUUGAGACCGUUGACAAAACAUUGACUGGUCCAAUGGAUCAUCAUAAUUAGUAACAAGUUAUUCACCCAACAAAUUUACAAUUCAAAUUUGAUAGUAUCCAUUAAAGACAACUGCCACUUUCAUGUAUAGAAGAGGAACAGAGGUCCAAGGGAAAAUUUGGAAGCUUCAACCUAACCUCCAAAAGCACCAUUAAUGCAUAAAAAAUGGUGAUUUUACCUGACUUAAUUUCCAAAUAUA
rnacentral:misc_RNA from 1 species